rnacentral:rRNA from 1 species
CCUACGGGAGGCAGCAGUGAGGAAUAUUGGUCAAUGGGCGAGAGCCUGAACCAGCCAAGUAGCGUGAAGGAUGACUGCCCUAUGGGUUGUAAACUUCUUUUAUAUGGGAAGAAAGUGAGGCACGUGUGCCUUUUUGUAUGUACUUUACGAAUAAGGAUCGGCUAACUCCGUGCCAGCAGCCGCGGUAAUACGGAGGAUUCGAGCGUUAUCCGGCUUUAUUGGGUUUAAAGGGAGCGUAGAGGGGUUGUUAAGUCAGUUGUGAAAGUAUGCGGCUCAAACGUAAACAUGCCAUUAAUACUGGCAGCCUUGAGUACAGUUGAGGUAGGCGGAAUACGUGGUGUAGCGGUGAAAUGCUUAGAUAUCACGAAGAACACCGAUAGCGAAGGCAGCCUACUAAACUGCCACUGACGUUGAUGCUCGAGAGUGUGGGUAGCAAACAGGAUUAGAUACCCGAGUAGUC